CCCGCCCCGCCGCUGCUUUGCAUGAGAAAGCGCAGCGCCCGGCCCCCAGAUCUUGCCGCCGCCCCGGCCCCGGGCCCCGCGUCGCCGCCCUCUCGUGCGUCCCGCCCGCUGCUCCUUCGCCUUCUGCGCCAGCCUCCAACUUGGCCUCUCGUCGCCUCCCCGCCUGCGCUCCCUUUCUCGGGGCGUCCCCGGCCUCGUCCCCCGCAGCCCAAGGGCGCCGGGGUUACUGGAAGUUCGGAGACUGGCCGGAGGAAGGGGUGGGCUGGUCCAAGUCAGGCUAGGGGCUUAUCUCCUCUGAUUUUUAUGAAGAAAAAAAAAAUGUCUGCAGAAGUGCUUCUCUCUGCCCAGCUGAGAUGGAAACCAACAAAUAGACAUUAUGAUCGAAAAAUGAGGGCUCUGAGAAAUCACCAACUGCAAGAUAACUCUGUAACUAAUAAAUGAAAAGGCCCUUUUGAUGGCUCCAGCUGAAAAGAUAUUUUAUUUUAUUUUUUUUUCCUGUGUGUGGGAUUUGAGAUGUGUGAUUCUAAGGAGCGGCGGGGUUCCCUGCUGCUCAGCUCUGGCUGGCAACUGGCCCCCCUCUGGCAAAUGUUAUGGAGAAUUGGGAGGAAUUUUAUGGCUGUCUCUCCCCUCAGCUCUUUUUUCUUUUGUCUUCUUUGAAGAAUGACUUUAGACAUUUUAUUUACAUAUUUAACCAUGGAUGAAAGGGGGAAAAGAAAGCAUUUGGGGCUGUCGUGGGAAUGGUGAUAUGUUUAAAUUAAUGGAAAUCUUAUUAGGCCUCUAAAAUUUUGAGCAAAGGUUUUUAAUGAAACUUUAUAAUUAAACAUGAUUUCAAAUAACAUGCAAGGACAAGGAAUAUAUAUGUAUAUGUUUUAUACACCAACUAUCUAAAAAUAUAUGUAUAUGGGAGAGACACUCUUAAACAUUAACUACCUUCAAAUUCUUGCAAAUGUUUGCCCAGAAAAAGAAUAAGGUUUUUGAACAGGAACGUGAUUUCAGCAGUCAGGCAGUAUUUUGACUGAGAGUUAAGUAUUUCUGGAUGGAAGGAGAUUGAGAGAGAGGCAGAGUUUUAUCACCUAGCAAAUUACAAAGUCAAAAAGAACUUAAGAAUAUUGCUAAAAAUCAAAGUUGUAUUUCCUCUUAAGAUGUUAUAGUCAGUGGAAAUGAUGAGCAGUGUGUGAGAUGUUCUGAAAUGAGAUUCAAGAAAACCCACAGUAAUCUCUUUAAGAUAACAAGUACUGACUCUUUCAACAGUAGAGAAAAAUUAAACCAUAGACUUAGCACGUUACAAGCUAAUUACAAGAGUAAACUUGUAGACUAUCAGCACAGCUUAGGAAAAGAAAGAGAAGCGUGUUGUAGGGUUGAAGGUAGAAAGUGGUUCAGGUGAUCUGUUUUUCUAGGAACUCUGGCUUGGAGCAUCUCUCUCAGCACAGUGGCGUUUGAUGAUCUGGUAAAAUGAGUCUGAUGUUUCUUUUAUCCUCUAUUAUCAUCAAUAUUUGUAUUUCAUCAGCACUUUUCCGAUUCUCCUUUCAAGUAAGAAUGCGAUGCUAAUAAUGGUCUGACAUGUAGAGCGAUCUCUGAUACCAAAACGUGCCUUUUUCCCUGAUUUCAUCUUGGGUUAUGUUUGUGCAGAAGCUUAUUAUGAGAUUUAGGAGGGAAAAAAAAACAGGCACUGAGAAUUCUGUUUUCUAAGCAAGCAGGCGUGCUCUUCCCCCCCACCCCCACCCCACAUUAUUCUCCUAGGAGAAAAUACCUUUGGUCAUCCGAAGGGAUACUUACUAAAGAAAACACACAGCGUGUACCACCCCAGAAGCCACACAAGCUGCGGCAAAUUCACCGGCCACAAAGUUUUUCAUUCCACCUAAAAACACUCG
rnacentral:lncRNA from 1 species